rnacentral:rRNA from 1 species
CCGGACCCCACUGCUAUCGGGAUAGGACUAAGACAUGCUAGUCGUGCGUCUCCUAGCUACGAUGGAGGCGCGGCGGACAGCUCAGUAACACGUGGCUAACCUGCCCUUAGGACAGGAAUAACCCCGGGAAACUGGGAUUAAUUCCUGAUAGGUGAAGAACUCUGGAAUGGGUCUUCGUCUAAAGGGCGUCUAGCUCAUGCGCCUAGACGUUGCCUGAGGAUGGGGCCGCGUCCGAUCAGGUUGUUGGUGAGGUAAUGGCCCACCAAGCCUAUAACCGGUGCGGGCCGUGAGAGCGGGAGCCCGGAGAUGGGCACUGAGACAAGGGCCCAGGCCCUACGGGGCGCAGCAGUCGCGCAAACUUUGCAAUACACGAAAGUGUGACAAGGCUAUCCCGAGUGCCGUCCGCUGAGGAUGGCUUUUACUCAGUAUAAAAAGCUGAGAGAAUAAGGAGAGGGCAAGACUGGUGUCAGCCGCCGCGGUAAUACCAGCUCUCCGAGUAGUGUGGAUGUUUAUUGGGCCUAAAGCAUCCGUAGCUGGCUGGACAAGUUCUCUGUUAAAUCCACCGAUUUAAUCGUUGGAUUGCGGGGAAUACUGUUCGGCUAGGGGGCGGGAGAGGCCGACGGUAUUUCCGGGGUAGGGGUGAAAUCCUAUAAUCCCGGGAGGACACCAGUGGCGAAGGCUGUUCGCUAGAAUAGCCCCGACGGUGAGGGAUGAACGCUAGGGGGAGCGAUACCAAAUAGAAACACUGGGAGGAC